UUGCUUAUUUUGACAGCACAUAUACUAAUAUUGGAAUAGUACAGAGAUAAUUAACAUGAAUCUUGUUCAAGGAUUGCACACAAAUGAAGAGUUUAAAUUUUCU
rnacentral:snRNA from 1 species